rnacentral:rRNA from 1 species
UACGGAGGGUGCAAGCGUUAAUCGGAAUUACUGGGCGUAAAGCGCACGCAGGUGGCUGAGUCAGUCGAUUGUGAAAGCCCUGGGCUUAACCUGGGAAUUGCAGUCGAUACUACUCAGCUAGAGUAUGGGAGAGGGUAGUGGAAUUCCCGGUGUAGCGGUGAAAUGCGUAGAUAUCGGGGAGGAACAUCAGUGGCGAAGGCGGCUACCUGGCCCAAUACUGACACUCAGGUGCGGACAGCGUGGGGAGCAAACA